rnacentral:rRNA from 1 species
UCCGGUUGAUCCCGCCGGAGAUUACCGUUAUCAGGAUUCGACUUAACCAUGCGAGGCGCGAGCUCUCUGGGCUCGCCGAACUGCUCAGUAACACGUAGCCAACAUACCCUCAAGUAGAGGAUAAUCAUGCGAAAGUGUGGCUAAUACUCUAUAGUUGUUGAAUGCUGGAAUGCUUUAACAGUUAAAGCUGAGGCGCUUGAGGAUUGGGUUGCGGCCUAUCAUGGCUGUUGUGAGUGUAAAGUACUCACAAACCUAUAAUGGGUAGGGGUCAUGAAAGUGGGAGCCUCGAGAUGCCUUCUGAGACAUGAAGGCAGGUCCUACGGGACGCAGCAGGUGCGAAAACUUUCCAAUUCCUGAAAGGGUGAGAAGGGAAUCCUGAAUGGUUAUGCAAUGCAUAACCUUUUACCUUGCUUAAAAAGCAAGAUGAAUAAGUGGUGGGUAAGACGGGUGGCAGCCGCCGCGGUAAUACCCGCGCCACAAAUGGUAAUCAUUUUUAUUUGGUCUAAAGGGUCCGUAGCCGGUUCAACAAGUUCUUAGAGAAAUCUACUAGCUAACUAGUAGGCUUUCUGAGAAUACUAUUGAACUUGGGAUUGGGAUAGGAUAGAGGUAUUCCUUGUGUAGGGGUU